CAACCUUCUCAACGCAGCUUAGACACACUCAACUUCUUUUCUCCUCCUGACCUGGACGAGUACAUGGGCCUUGCCGUUUCGGAGCUGCUGUGCCUGGCUGCAUAUGUGCUGCCUCCUGAGUAGUCCAACUGCUUUAACACUUUGCAACCAAAGACCCAGCUGCAAAUUUGAGACCCUUCUGCGUCCAUUUCUGGCAGGUACUGGGACAUGCUAAGCCUCCAGGCUGGUAAUGCUUGCUGGUUUUUGGAAAGCAACCUCAAGCAGCUGAGUCACCAGGUUUUCCCACCUCCGCCGGCAGCGGGUGGGGACACAGCCAGCUCCGCGCAGGAUCAGAAUUUCUUUUCUCUUCCUCCUCCACCUCAAAAAAGCGGAUAUUUAAUAAUUUGGAUCGGAAGAGCUCGCUAUCGUGAAGCGAUGGGUGGUAGCGGCGCUGCACCUAGUGACAUCACGCUGUCAGCCUGGCCAAGUCUUCAUCCCGUCAGGGCUAUUCAGUAAAACACAACUAAUUAUUCUGCCAGAUCCUCGGACCAGAUGACAAAUUGAUUCACGGUACUAACUAAAAGAAGGGAAGGAGGAGAAAUUGCACCAUUUCCUAUGACUGAAACUACAUUAACCCAUUACCCCAAGGAAAACUUUGUCAAAAGUUUUUAUUGCGGCGGUUGAGCUAUGUGCCAGACGGCUGAAGUGCAUUGCCAGGAGACCCCGGUGUUGUGCUACGAAAGUUCAUGUGCAGAGCACAGCUUGCAUUCGAUAUCCAUCAGCGUUCAGAGGAGAACGGGCUUUUUUCAGAACAUCUGCAGAGUAUCUUGUAUGGCAGAGGACCUAAAACUGUUUUCAGAAACUGCUAAUUAAAACUUAACAAAAUCAAAUACCUGUUUUUCUAAGCUGACCCAAGGACGCUGAAAACUAAAAGUAACACCAGGGAGGCUGCUGGAAAUGAAAGCUUUUACUCAAUCUGUCAGUCAGCUCACAAGGGAAACUGUUCCUGGAUACUGCAAGAAGUCUAUAAUUACAUCAUCAUGGCAAGGGCACACCAGUACAUUGCUUAUUAAUCAUUUCCAGGAAGACGACUAUCAGAAAAGCCAUUCUCAAUAGCACCACUACCCGGCAAUGUGGGCUCCCUUGCUCACUGCAGGGAGUGUGCUCAAGAUUUCCCCCGCAAUAAUUUCCUUUUUGAGCAAAUUUCAAUCCCUGCCAGAAGCCUGCAACACACUCGCACCUUUUCACACGUUCUGCUGACCAAAGACUGGAUUCACACAACACCCUACAACUAUAAUAAACUCCCAAAUUCUUACGAAACCAUUCUUCUCUGGAAGGAGUGACAGAUGCGCCCCUUCCAAAACAGUGAGUGCUGCUAGAUUUUGUGUUUUCCCCUCUGCUCCAAAGACACGUGAGAUACUUUCUCUCCACCAGACAUAACUGCAGGGGGAACACCAAGGUUCAGCAAUGCCCAAGCUGCCACGCGCUUACUCCUUAAUUGAAGUGACCAAGACUUGUUGACCAAAGCAUCAUUCCCUUUCAAAAACUUGGACAACAGUAAAAGGGAGAGGGGGAGAUGGAGGGGAAGAGGACAGGAGGACAAGUAAGACUGUCACACCUAUUUGGAACCCUUAAGCCUGUAUUUGAGAGGUGGGACCUCGUCCCUCCGCUACACGAAGCAACUGAGAAGAGCAAGGAAAUAAAGACGAGCAAGAGUUCCCUUUCAGAAGU